UCCUAAAAUAAGCUUACUAACAAAUCCACCUUCACCCAAAUUAUAAUUUUAAGAUCCGUAUUUUUUUUAAAAACUGUAGCUCACCAUUUCCUUCACAUAAACUGCACCUUGACCUGAAGUAAAAAGAUUAAUUUUAUAGAAAACAUCCUUUUGGAGUAAUCUGACAACGGAGGUAUACAAGUUAAACAAAUGAAGGUAAGAUAAAACGAGGGUUAUCGAUUACAAGACAAGCUCCUCUGUUUGGUUAGAAUGCCGCCAAAACCUUUGGGUUUGAAGAACAACUUUUAC
rnacentral:rRNA from 1 species